AUUGCCUCAGUAACGGCGAGUGAAGCGGCAAAAGCUCAAAUUUGAAAUCCCCCCGGGGAGUUGUAAUUUGAAGAUUGCGUCUUGGAGGCGACCGUGUCUAUGUUCCUUGGAACAGGACGUCACAGAGGGUGAGAAUCCCGUGCGGCACGGCCCCCGGCUCCUUAUAAGGCGCUCUCGACGAGUCGAGUUGUUUGGGAAUGCAGCUCAAAGUGGGUGGUAAAUUCCAUCUAAAGCUAAAUACAGGCGAGAGACCGAUAGCGAACAAGUACAGUGAUGGAAAGAUGAAAAGCACUUUGAAAAGAGAGUGAAACAGCACGUGAAAUUGUUGAAAGGGAAGGGCAUGCCGUCAGAUUGUCAGUGUGGGUAAGAAGCGGGGUACAAAGACUGUGGAACGUGGCCCUCGGGUGUUAUAGCCGCAGUUCAUGCCCCGUCUCUUUCCGAGGCCUGCUUUGAGGACACCGACGUAAUGACGGUACGCCGCCCGUCUUGAAACACGGACC
rnacentral:rRNA from 1 species